rnacentral:rRNA from 1 species
AGAGUGAACGCUGGCGGCAGGCCUAACACAUGCAAGUCGAACGGCAGCACAGGGGAGCUUGCUCCCUGGGUGGCGAGUGGCGGACGGGUGAGGACAACGUCGGAAUCUGCCUUUUUGUGGGGGAUAACGUAGGGAAACUUACGCUAAUACCGCAUACGACCCGGGCCGGAGGUACGGGUGAAAGCGGAGGACCUUCGGGCUUCGCGCAGAGAGAUGAGCCGACGUCGGAUUAGCUAGUUGGUGGGGUAAAGGCCCAUCAAGGCGACGAUCCGUAGCUGGUCUGAGAGGAUGAUCAGCCACACUGGAACU